GCGAGCCUGCGGGGUAAUAUAAUACCUCAGCGCUGCUAAGGGAGGGGAUCUACCCCGCCAGGCAAGGAGCGGAUACGGCCAGGUGUCAAAGCUGCUGGGAGACAGACUCAUCACACCAUGGCAGUCACGGCUCCAGGCACGUUAGGGGAAGCAUGGUCCGGGAAGUAGUGAGGGCCAGUCACAGCAGCCAUCUUAGCAAGGGGGGGUGGACACCCCCAGGAACAUUACUGAAUUUUCAGGCUGUGCCCAGCGUGGAAACAUGAUGGUGGUGGAAGCCAUUCCUUGCAAAGUUGCCAGCUCUCUGACUGAAAGAGGAAAACAAGCUUCCAGUUUUUUUCUACUCCUAAGAAACCACUGAACCUGUUGAAUAAACUGAAAUAAAGAAACUACUCUCUGCACCCACAGAAGAGACUACUGCUGUCAAAAGUUUGCCUCUAUCCAUGUUACUCGGCCUGAUUCCCUCCUCUCGGCCAAGCAGCAGCAAGGGACAAGAAGAGCACAGCUGUCGGGUAAGAAUCAUGACAUUUUCUUUUUGCUAUUGCACAUGGACAACGGGACACAGACUCGGCCAUCGCACAUCAGCUAACAAGAUGAAAGAGAGCAGAGACAUUAUUAUUAGAAUCCCAGCUUUUUACUUCACUCGUUGCCUCACCUGUGCAGUCGACCAUCAGGAUCUCCAUUUCCUCAGAGUGCUGGAGAUCUGGGACAAAUGGCUCUUCCCCUCUUUCCACCUGGGCUAUCAUCUGAGGCUUGGGAAUCGGAAAUCCUGGACAUUGGAAAAGAUAUGUUAACAGCUGGCUAAUGUUUGAGUGCUCGUCACAAAGAAUGGUCAUGAUUUUUAUAAGCCCACAUUGUUUUACUAGAGGCAAGGGUGUAAUCCAAGUAGAGAGAACAUUGUCACGAAUUCUGCUGGAAGAGUAAGUAACUGUUGGGAGAUGUGUUGUAAUCUCUGAAGGAGAAUCAGGGAUCUCUACACCCAGGAAAAUAAGACAACUGACACAGUGUAAAAAAUUAAAUCACUUGCCCAU